UGGGGAAUAUUGGACAAUGGGGGCAACCCUGAUCCAGCAAUGCCGCGUGUGUGAAGAAGGCCUGCGGGUUGUAAAGCACUUUCAGCAGCCAAGAAAAGCCUGAGGUUAAUAACCUCGGGUCUUGACAUUAACUGCAGAAGAAGCACCGGCUAACUCUGUGCCAGCAGCCGCGGUAAUACAGAGGGUGCAAGCGUUAAUCGGAAUUACUGGGCGUAAAGCGCGCGUAGGCGGUUUGUUUAGUCGGAUGUGAAAGCCCCGGGCUCAACCUGGGAAUUGCAUUCGAUACUGGCAGGCUAGAGUAUGGUAGAGGGAAGUGGAAUUCCGGGUGUAGCGGUGAAAUGCGUAGAUAUCCGGAGGAACACCAGUGGCGAAGGCGGCUUCCUGGACCAAUACUGACGCUGAGGUGCGAAAGCGUGGGGAGCAAACA
rnacentral:rRNA from 1 species